AGUGAACGCUGGCGGCGUGCUUAACACAUGCAAGUCGAACGAGAACGGAUUAUAGCUUGCUAUAAUUGUCAGCUAAGUGGCGCACGGGUGAGUAAUGGAUAGGUAAUAUGCCUCUUACUAAGGGAUAACAAAUGGAAACGUUUGCUAAUACCUUAUACUCCUUAUUAACAGAAGUUAAUAAGGGAAAGAUUUAUUGGUAAGAGAUUAGCCUGUAUUGUAUCAGUUAGUUGGUGGGGUAAUGGCUUACCAAGACUAUGACACAUAACUGGUUUGAGAGGAUGAUCAGUCACACUGGAACUGAGACACGGUCCAGACUCCUACGGGAGGCAGCAGUGGGGAAUAUUGCACAAUGGACGAAAGUCUGAUGCAGCAACGCCGCGCGGAGGAUGACACAUUUCGGUGCGUAAACUCCUUUUAUAUGAGAAGAUAAUGACGGUAUUAUAUGAAUAAGCACCGGCUAACUCCGUGCCAGCAGCCGCCGUAA
rnacentral:rRNA from 1 species